GGCUUCGGGCCGCGAGGUUGCCGUGGGGGAGGCGCGUGGCAGAGCUGGAUAUGUACCCUCCUACUCAUAAAGAUUGUGCAGAACUUCAAACUCGUCGCCGGAUCCUCGAAAGAUCCUGAGGUGGUCGUCAGAACUCUACUGAAGCCAACGUCAGCAGCCGACAUCCGAUUUAUCACGCGCGUGUAGUUGUUCGACAAUAACUAAAGCAGCAUGUAAAUUAAGGGUAAUCUGAUUAGAAAGUUCCCUUCCUAUGUUUCAAGGAGCGCACUAAUAGUGGAUGACACUUGGUUUAGAAACAAUAUCGCUAUAGAUUCAGACUAUCGCUAUGAUGCGUGUUACGUAUUACGCGUGUCUUGUAUGCAUUCAGUUUACGUGGUAUAAAUACCGAAUAAGUGAUUUCAAUAAUCAUUCGUUCAAGUAGUCGCACGUUAUAUUUGUAUUUGUUCUAUAAUUACGAGUAUAUAGGUCUGUUGCUGUUAUCUAUCUGUCUGAAUGCUUGUGUUAAACUGUAUUAUUCAAUGUUUAAUAUCUGUAAUAAACCUGUGCUCAGAUGAAUUGGCUA